CCUACGGGAGGCAGCAGUGGGGAAUAUUGGACAAUGGGCGAAAGCCUGAUCCAGCCAUGCCGCGUGUGUGAAGAAGGUCUUCGGAUUGUAAAGCACUUUAAGUUGGGAGGAAGGGCAGUAAGUUAAUACCUUGCUGUUUGACGUACCGACAGAAUAAGCACCGC
rnacentral:rRNA from 1 species